rnacentral:rRNA from 1 species
GACGAACGCUGGCGGCGUGCUUAACACAUGCAAGUCGAGCGGUAGGGCCCUGCUUUGGUGGGGUACACGAGCGGCGAACGGGUGAGUAACACGUGGGUGACCUGCCCUCAGCUCUGGGAUAAGCUUGGGAAACUGGGUCUAAUACCGGAUAGGACUGCAUCUUGCAUGGGGUGUGGUGGAAAGUUUUUUCGGCGUGGGGAGUGGCCGUGCGGCCUAUCAGCUUGUUGGUGGGGUGGAGGCUUACCAAGGCGACGACGGGUAGCCGGCCUGAGAGGGUGGUUCGGCCACACUGGGACGUGAGACACGGCCCA